rnacentral:lncRNA from 10 species
CUGCUUUCUCUACUAACAGCCUCAUAAUGGAGCCAUCUAAAUCUCUUACUGAUUCCUCUAACCUCCAGGGAGCCACACCUUUACCCAGUCCUCCUAGAUCCUGGGGGAAUCAGAGGACCUUGUGUAAGCACUAUGUGAGGAAACAAGAAAACCUAGGGCCACAACAACUGGAUUCUCUUUUCUGAUUUUUGCUGCAGCUUCUGCUUUGUAAUCAUACGGACAGUUGUGCUUGUCAGAGUUAACGGUGAAGUCCACAAAACAAAUUUCCACAUCGGCAGUCAAACCUGUCAGGAUCGCUGUACAAGGACUGCAUAGACAAGGCACGAGGCCAGUUUUCCCAGGGGGCUUUUUCUGACUCUGGGAUUUGUGACCUGUAUCUUGUGUUGACCUUCUAGCUCAUCCUGCAGCUAAGAAUGCCUAACCUCCUGGGAAUGCAGCCCAGCAGAUCUCAGCCUCAUUUUACCCAGCCCCAGUUCAAUAUGGAGUUGCUCUGGUUCGAACACCUCUGACAGUAUGGAGGGUUUACAAUUCUUAAGAAGAGAGAAGUUGCUGAGCUUUAGAGAAUAAGCUGAAACAUGCAUGAAGCACUAAUAACUCUUGCCCUGUACUUUGUUACUUUAGUGAUAAAUUUUACAGCUGGUUCUUUGAAUAAUUUAUAUUAAUUAAGUUUCUCUGUCUGAUGUGAAGUAGCCAGUGAAUAAGCAAAGCCUAAUUCUCCAAUAAAGAUAAUAAAGCCCU